CUCAUUCUCAUAAAGUGCUAGAAUAGAGAGCGCUUUAAAACCCCUUAAAUAACUAGAUUACAACCAAAGCCAUAAUCAAUAAUCUACAAUUGACUAGUCAAUGAAACCCGUAGAUUCCCUUGCAUACCCUUUUUCUCUUCCUUUGCCAUUGUUUCCACUGAUUCCUCUGAGGUAACAUAGGUGGAAGAAGCAAACAGAAGGUUGUUCUGCACUCCAGACAAUACUUGAAAUU
rnacentral:lncRNA from 1 species